rnacentral:lncRNA from 10 species
AAGGCUUCCCAAAGUCACACAUGCAACCGGGCACUAUCAGGGCUGUCAGAGUUUCCAAGGACAGGGAGAGGGAGGCAGAUCCCAUGAAAUGAGGCUGGACAGGAAGUCCUCCCAACGAGGUUAUCAGGCAAAUCAAGAAGAGUGGGAAGUGCCCGAAGACAGGAGGCUGCCUGCCAGCGACUCCACGGGCUCAGGCUGUUUGUAGUUCAUGUGCAUAAUUUUUAAAGAUAGACAUAAGACAUACCCCUGAAGAUGAGUACAAGAGAGAAAGACAGGGCUCUGAAAAUACUGCCAUAGGCUCAAGUUCCAAAGUGCUGGAGUUACAAAAGUAUAAAGGACAACGCAAAGGACUUUUUAGCCAAAGAAGAACCAGAAAGGAAGAGUCCUAGGGAAUUGGAGACGUCGCGAAGGAAUGUUGUUCUGAGCACUGAUUUCAUCAAGCCGAUGGAGGCAACAACAUAUUCCUUAGGGAAAAUUAAGAUGCACAGUAUGCUUCAAGAUGAUGGCCAAGAACAACCAACUCAACGAGCCUUCAGGAAUUCAUGAUUUGAAUAUCAUGUUCAAGGCUGCCUUCUAGAUAAAGAUCAAACCAAGAAAGUCCAUGUGUCACUGCUCCGUGAAGGCUCCGGGUGGAACUCCCUGCCCCACUCCACCUUUAAGAUUUCCAGCACAGUGUCUUCACCUCCUUCAGCGCCCCUGUUUACAUGUCCAUCUCUCUCUUUAGAAGCUACAGACAUCAGCAAACUCGAGAAAAGAAGGUUUGCUCUGGGAGAUUCUACAUGUGACCUGUUUAUAUGUAAUUAUAUUAUCUAUUACUCAAGUAUUUGUCUUGUGCUGUCUAAAUUAUAAGCUUCUCAACUGUUUGCCUUGAGUGAGAUGUGCACGCUAAAGCCUCUCAAUAAAUAUUAAUUGAAUGAAUAAUUGAAAAAAACC